rnacentral:rRNA from 1 species
CAGCAGUCGCCGCGGGAAAACAGAGGGUGCAAGCGUUAAUCGGAAUUACUGGGCGUAAAGCGCGCGUAGGUGGUUUGUUAAGUUGGAUGUGAAAUCCCCGGGCUCAACCUGGGAACUGAAUCCAAAACUGGCAAGCUAGAGUAUGGUAGAGGGUGGUGGAAUUUCCUGUGUAGCGGUGAAAUGCGUAGAUAUAGGAAGGAACACCAGUGGCGAAGGCGACCACCUGGACUGAUACUGACACUGAGGUGCGAAAGCGUGGGGAGCAAACAGGAUUAGAUACCCCCGUAGUCCCUGUCUCUUAUAC